ensembl:lncRNA
UGACCAUUCGCUGUGACAUACUUGGUGUCUCAAAAAACUGUAAAGUUUUGGUUGAGUAAAACUCAGCUCUUAAAAAACUUGUCAUGGUUUGGGUGAGUGCCAGUGUUUUUCCUCCGAGCCGGCAGUUCCACCUCUGGGAGGAGCCACUGUGUUCCUGCUCAUUGCUCACACCUGUGGGUAAUUAAGCCAUGGACUUAUAAGGCCAGCGCGCGCAACCUCUCUUUGUGAGAUUCUCAGGUAACCACAGUUAGUGCAGGCCACUGCGUUGGUUUGCACAUGUCUUAGCAAACUACCUGGUCUCAUCUUGUAUCUGUCUUUCAUAGCUAAACACCAGAUUACCAGUUGCAACUUUCCCGCCAUAGAACCCCCAGACAGUCUCACGGUUUUGCUCACUCCACACACCUGCCUGCCUCCCUGCCUCAACGUCAGGAAUUUCGGCUCACGUACCACUCACCCGGACCACUCUCCCCUCUAUGCUACCGAUCCACCCACGACAAUGACUCUGACCCCUUUCCCAGGACCCAGCCAUCCAGUUUGACCCUCCCUUUGGCCCAAACCACAGAACUGCAGUUUCCACCAUUGAGAAAUCACUGAUUGUUUACAUAGCUCAGGUCGCAUAAGUGCCCCUUAGUUUUGGUGUUUGUUCCUAGCACUAGUUAAACACACGACUCAGUUUUCUGGUUUUGUUCAUUUACACUUGU